AUUGAACGCUGGCGGAAUGCUUUACACAUGCAAGUCGAACGGCAGCACGAGAGCUUGCCCUUGGUGGCGAGUGGCGAACGGGUGAGUAAUAUAUCGGAACGUAUCCAAUAAUGGGGGAUAACUAAUCGAAAGGUUAGCUAAUACCGCAUACGCCCUACGGGGGAAAGCAGGGGAUCUUCGGACCUUGCGUUAAUGGAGCGGCUGAUAUCAGAUUAGGUAGUUGGUAGGGUAAAAGCCUACCAAGCCUGCGAUCUGUAGCUGGUCUGAGAGGACGACCAGCCACACUGGAACUGAGACACGGCCCAGACUCCUACGGGAGGCAGCAGUGGGGAAUUUUGGACAAUGGGCGCAAGCCUGAUCCAGCAAUGCCGCGUGCAGGAAGAAGGCCUUCGGUUGGUAAACUAGCUUUGUACGGUAACGAAAAGGACUCUGGUUAAUAACCUGGGGACGUCAUGACGGUACCGUAAGAAUAAAGCACCGGCGUAACUACGUAGCC
rnacentral:rRNA from 1 species